rnacentral:hammerhead_ribozyme from 1 species
CUCCAGCUGACGAGUCCUAAAUAGAACGAAAUGCGCGUCCUGGAU